CUCCUCCAUCCAUAGGAUUUUCCAGGCAAGAGUACUGGAGUGGGGUGCCAUUGCCUUCUCUGAGCAACAGCAACAGCAGCACCCAUAUCUAAGGGUGGUUUUCUUAUUUGGGGACGUGAAUGAAACUGAUUUGGAGAAAAGGAUGCAACACUUCAGUAUGACUUACCAUACGUAUUAUUUGCCUAAAAUUCAGAUCUAAAAGUGAUAAAGAAAUUCUUAAGGUAUCUAAUCUGAUAGCAAACACCUUUCAUUUCAUGUUUUCUAAAUUACCAAUGACAAAAAGCAGCUGCUUGUGGAAAUUUCCCUAGCUAGCAGGCUUAUUAAUAGGUCUAUUAUGAUUUCAUAAAGAAGUUAUCAUCUUGAUAACCAAAUAAACACAGGUUUUAGCUCUUCUAUUCUGAGGGAAAUUUCUGUAUGAUUAUUUCCAGUCCUUUCCCAGGCACUGAUUUUUGUCUCAACAUGCGUUGCAGAAAUAAUAGUUGAAUUUAGUGUGUCACCUAGUACAUAUUAUUUUUUGGCUAUAUAUAUGAAGUUUUCUGCUCUGGGGAAUAUUUAAUUCCUUAUAUUUGCAGCCAAAUAACCUUCUAAUUUGCCAGGUGGACCCUGACUUUUUUCCUCUGGAGAAACAACCCAAUACAUUUAAGAGAAUGAUUUUUCUUCCAACUUUGAGCAACACUCUUAAAGUAAUCUCUGUUUGUUACACAGAAACACCAAGGUCAGUAUCUCUAAUGCCUUGGCUUUUGUUUCUGCGAGGUCAUUCAAAGGGAAUGUUUAACACGGAGCUUUGUGGAGAGGUUGUCUUAAUUUUUUAGAUGAAGGUCUAAGAGUUUAAAAUCUGUGCAUUUCAACACAUAUGGUGGAAAUGGAACUGGCCCUCUCUCUCUAGUAGUAGCUCUGGAUGUGGCGUGGAUUUGCAUCUCACUCUUCCUGGUGUGCUGUCCCUGGCGUCAGGGAUGCCCUGCGUCAGUUCCUUCACUUAUAUUGAGGAGCUGGGUCUCUCAAUCACCCAGCAGCCAGCAAACAACCUGGUGUGUCUGCCUGGAUGACAAGGGCUGAAGAUCCAGAGAGAAUGAAAUCCCUAGCUUUGCUGAGGCUGGUGAGAACCUGGACAUCUGAAGGGAGAUGGGGAACCACAUGGAACUGGUAAGGACACCAUUAGGAGCCAAGAAGGAAUAAGAAGGGGAGGGUGGAGGUCACAGAUGCACACAAUAUCUGGCCAGAAGGAAGCUUCUUGAUGAGGCUGGAUGAUGCUGGGCGCUCAGAGGAGGUAAUGCAGUGAGUGGGGUGUGAACCAGGACUACUCAAGUUGUAGCUGAUGCUUGAUAAUAAAGGUUAAUGGACAGUCCAGGAGGACAGCUCCAGCAGAGUGUCUGGGCACAGUGGAGUAUGUCUCAGUGAUUUUUAUCUCCAAGUGAUUUGUAUAUAUAAGAUUCUGUUUAUGUGAAAUGUAUUUUGGAGGAUAUUGAACAAGGAGUCUAUAUUUCCAAACAGAGGACUGACAGCGGGUUAGAAAUAAGAAUUGAAAAGCCAAGAGAAAGGUCAAAUGCUAGAAUCUACUAAGCUAAGCCAGGACUCUAUAAUGAUCUAAGCAUUUCUGACAGAUAGAAAACCAUCACUCUGAGACUGGUGGGCAGAGUUCAGUUAUGAGACAGCAGACUCUACUAAUUAUUAUUCAAGGCCUUUCCCUAGUGAUUCUAUAAAAUAUGAAAAAAUCAUCUAAAUCAUUUAAUAUAAAAAAUGAAAUGUAUCCUUUCAUAACAAUAAGCUCUUCUUGAUUCCACUCUGAUUCUGAUUUUGUUUAAAAAACAUAGUCAGAUCCCAUCUGGGAAGUAUGAUAUCAGAAAGCAGGCAAUGCAUAUGCCCACAGUUCAGAACUGCCUUUGCCAAUUACAGUGAUAAGUGAAGUGAAUAUUGCAUGAACAUCUUACCAUCAUGAAAAGCAAAGGAUUCCAGCCUGUACCCACCAGGUAAAUAAACAGAAAAAAUAAACAGAAUAUGAGAGGAGAGAUAUAGACUUAGGGAUCAAGGUCAGGGCAAGACCUAGAAAUCCAUGUGGGCUAGUAACUGCAAUCCAUGUAUGUUUAUUACUGCUUUCCACACUAUAGUUGCUGAGAAAAUAUUUACAGGAAUGAAUGAACACAUGAAGGCUACAGCCAUCACAGAAAUGGACUAUGACCCAAAUGUCAUAUUUUCCUAAUGGUUUCAAGAAAGAACCACCUGGAAUCUGAUCCACCUUAUUUGGCACAGCUAUUUAGAUUCAAAGAGUUGGAGCAGGACUAUUAGAAAUCACAUCAGCUAACUUUUAUUGACCUCUUAUAUGAGUGGGACCAUGAGCUCAAAGAUACUAGCUUCUCCAAUUUAAUCUCUAUAGCAACCCCAUCCAUGGCUCACGUACUAUUAGGAUUCCUCUUAACGAAUAAGGAAACUGAGGAUUAAAGAGGUGACAUGACUUGCCCAGGGUCACAGAGCCAGGAAACAGCAGGGUUAGCCUCUAAAUACGGCAGGUAUGUUUCCAGAAUGACCAUUUUCUUCCUUAAGUCAUACUGAAGAGAAGACCUGGUUAAGACGGCAGGCUGUUCAUUCACCUCUGCUUAUCCAUGGUGACAAGAGAAAACUGGGAUUUCAAAGAAACUCUUCCUAAGACUAUUUUAGAGAUCUCUGACUCGUUAGUCUCCCAGGAAAAGGAUGGUUAUACAGUGUGUUUCUCAUUUUAAUACAACCUUUUUAGCACUCCGGGAAGAAAGAUGCUAUGAAAAAUGAGCAUACCACUAUGUGCAAUAUCACAUAAAGAUAAAGAGCCACAUUUCCUUUCGGUCAGAGCCACACUCUGGUUUUCUCGUGGCCAUUUUUCAAGGUUGAUUCACCCCUUGCAUUCAGCCUGAGGUCAUAUGCUGAGUUUUCCUCUCUAUUCACUGCUGAAUGGUCCUUUGCGUGGUCAGGAAUGGAAGGUUACAGGUUGUAAAUUUUGGGCUGCCAAUUCACCAAGGACUAAGCUCUCAAAUAUUUGAGCUAGAGGUCAUCUCAGAGAUUAUUCAGACCAUGUAUUUAUUUUUACAAAUUCAACACAACGGAAGAGGAGACACGCCGUGCUCAUAGUCACACAGGAAAGAAGCAAUAGAUGGAUGUAGGAGCUCCUGGACCCAGCACAGAACACGACUUGGUGCCAACUGCACGGAGGAUUUGUGAAUAGAUUCCAGUGUUUUGCAUGUUGCUUGGGACCUACAGCUGACCAGACAUCCUAAUUCUUUCCACUCCAACUCGGUCAUGCCCACAUAGUGCUAGCAGCAUGGUCUGGGGCUACCCAAGGCAGGAAUAAAUUCUGCACCUCUGGCUCUAAAGGAUUACCAACACAAAUGUGAACAAGCACGGGUUUCACUAUCUCUUGUUCUAAGAUAUCAGUUAAGAACAAAUUCCGAGAGGUGGCUGCGCACGAAUCGGGAUUCCUCAGCUCAUUGCUGAGGAAUGGCACUUGUCUUCACCUUGCUCUAAAUUUCAGCCCUUCGAGACACAGGUUUUGGAGUCAGACAGACCUAGGGUAGAGUGCAAUCUGCCACUUUAUCAUGGUGCCAUCUGGGGCAAGUUUCCCAACCUGUCUCAGCUGUGUUCUCUGUAACAAAAUGAGGAUAACACCACCAUACAUAUGCAACAAGGCUGCCUUACAACCAGAUAUGACAAAGUAUACAGAGCCCUUGGGGUUUUGCUGGACAGUGUAAAAAUCGACACACAUUCACUGUUUCCACUGAUACUACUUGUAUUUGGUGGACUCUUUAAAAAGAUCUCCUAACAUGCAGUUUAAAAGGUGAAUGUUUUUUAAAAUAUAUGUUCACUUAUGGAGUCCAAAGUUAACAUUCUAAUACAGGCACUUCUGGGUGAACAAGUCUGGAAAAAUCUUCCUCUUGUGAAUGGGGGAAGUACUUUCCUUUCUAAAGGUCACAGAGAGAUCCCCAGAGCAGACAUAAAUGCGGAUGAUUCCUUCGCUUCUGCAGUGCCCUUUUUACUCUCAUAGACUAUUACUCAGUAAUACAGGCUCUUCUAACCACAGAAGACAGAAACACAAGUAAGAGAAAGAAAGGCAUCACUACUGAAAGCCACAUCUCUACUCCAUCAUUUCCUGUUCACAUUUGCUAUCUCAAGAACUCCUUUUGUCUUUUUUUUUUUUUUUUUGGUCAUGUUAUUUCUUUCAAUGUCCUGAAGCACAGAAUCCACAUUAGUGAUAACCAUAUUCAGUCACUCCCCAGCUCGGUCCCCAGUGGUGGGAAUGCUAAGAAUCUUUUGUCAAAAAGCAUAUCUUCUCAUUGGCAAUGUAAACAUGUUUAGGGAAAUUUUUAUAGGGCUUCUCACAAUACAAGAAUGGCUCUGAACAGGGGCAUCAGGGAACCAAAAUGACGGAGGAGGAAGGAGAGAAAGCUUGGCCACGAAACAAGGGCUGUGACUUCAGGGCGUAAAGCCAGUGUUGACAGGCCUGCCUGAUGGCCGUUCAUGUCCAGGACCACCAUGGCACUUAUUACCAUGAAAAGGAGCUGCGGAAGCAUGAGAUUGGCAGGGAGCACCACGAAAGAAAGCCGAGGCAGGAGUCACAGUCACUGCAGCCGGAUGGGGCACUGGGCCAUCCUUCUUCCCCCGACCCCCCCAAACCCCAGCCUGUGCAAUGCUACAAAGGUCUAAGACCACGGAAAAAAGGGAACUAAGAUUCACAUGUCAACUCUCAGAGCACACUUGAAGGAGCCUGUCAAUACUAUAUCCAAGUAGGUGGCCCCUCAAUCGCCUCACAAGGGACAUGGCAGGGCCAGGAAAAGAAGCGGAGGCAGUGAGAGAUGUUCAUGACCCCCACCUUCCAUCACUUCCAAAAAGUGGAUGCUCUCCAGUUGCAUCCUGUAGCUUCAUAAUAUAACAACUUCGUAUCAGAGGAUGGAAAAACAUUUUCACAUGAAAUACAGUAGCAUAUGAAGUUAGCUAUGGAACUUGUGAAACCCAAAUUGGGGACCUUCUUAUUCUGCAGGAGUAUAAACAUUACAGUUUUUCUCCCCAUCAAGACAGAAACAAAAACCAAGAAAAUCUGCAAAAGCCAUACAUGGUGACUUCUAGCGUGGCCACAUCCAAUAGUGCCUCCAGGGAUUUGAGGUAUAUUAUGUUAUCAGGCUCUGUUACCCCUAGAUCCCCACUCCCAAGCACACUGCUGAUUUUUGUAAUGCUUCUUUCCCUUGCAAGGUUAGAUGUGAUGAUUUUUUGGUAAUCUGACUUCAGCAAAAUCAUGACAUUGUCACUUUUCAGGAAAGAGGUGAAGAUGGUACCAGGACCCAUCCUCUAACCACAGAAGUAUUUGUGAAGGCAGACUGGAAGAUGGGGAGGGUAGUGGGUGACGUUUUUGUUCUAGGAUCCUUUAUUCUCAGCUGUUCCAAAGGUGGGUGCGGAAGAGCCUGAGUGAUAGAAAAGUUACGUCCGCUGGGAACACGGAUCCAAGUUUCCUGAUACUCUGCAGGUGGGUUGUAACUAAAGGCCCAGGCUGAAGCGUUCAAGGCUAUCUGGAGAUGUCAUUCUGCUAGAUGAUAGCACCUGAGAAGACCCACUCAUUAACGCUACUGUCCCAGGCAGCCGGGGAGAGUCAUGGGAACUUAAGGUGCCCUUGGGAAUGCCUCUGUAGAAAAGCAAUCCAGAUAGGCUAUAUGUGGAUUUUCAGACACCCAACCAAUGUUCAGCCCUGAGCUUCUUCCCCCUCCCAAAGAGCUAGUCUAAGUAUUAUUCAGUCAUUUAAAAAACACUAGGUUAUGGUUCAUUUAAUUGCCUCUUCCAUUCUUGCUUUCUCUGCCUGUCUGGUCCUUCCUCCAUCAGCUUCAUGUGAAAGGAACAUAUUUAUCUGCCAGUAUGUCAAGUAUCUUACAUUGAAAAAGUUACAGCUGGAGAGGUAGGUAGUUCAUGUAUUGAAUUUGCUUUGGGUGGAUAUUAAUGCUACCCCAGAACUGAAAUGUGCAUACCUCUGAGUUUGUAAUCAGAGAAAUAUAUCUCAGUGAGAGGGAAAAGGUCAUCUUAACCAUUACUGAAUGAGAUGCUCACCCUUCAACUUUGCAAUGUUCUUCUGGGAGUUUCAGAUAAAACCAAAUUACCACCAAUAGGCUCUAGUCAAGUCCUUUGUGGCUUUCCUUGUCUCUUCCUCCUGCUUACCUUUUGGUAAAGAAAAGACUCAAGAGUACCACUAUGAAAGGAUGAGAUGAGAAGAAAUAAAACCCAGCUAAAAUGUAAGUGGCUCACAACACAGAAGAGUGGGCAUAGAAGUGGCUAAACUUUUCUUUGAUGGUUUUCUGUGAAUUUAAAUUAUUCCUGCACUACUCUGAGAUUUAUUCAAAUGGAAAUCCCAGAGUUGAGGCAGAAGCAUGUGUAAUAACUUGGUUUUGGAAUCAAUCAGAUCUAGUUUGAUUACUAGCUCUUCAUUUGUGAUCUUAUAUGAGAUGCUUAACCAGGUAUGAAAUGAUGGUGAGUAAGCAACUUAAACCUAACAUGUCCGAAACAGUUGUCCUGAUCUUCGGAUUAGCUUCUCCAUUUCAAUCAAUGGGAACUAUUCAUCCACUUAUUCAGUGCACAAAAUCUGGCUGGAGUCAUUCCAACUCCUUUCUUUCUCUCAUUUCCCACAUCUAAACUUGGACCAAAUCCUUCAGCAUUACCUUUAAAAUGUCAGAAUCCUACCACUCCUCACGACUUCCACAGAAUACUCUCAUCAGAAUUACUUCAAUGGCUUUUAAUGUUCUCCCUGCUUCUAUCUUUGUUCCUCCUGUAGCUUCCCCUAAAUUCAAAAGCCAGGCUCAUUCUUUUAAACAAAUCCACAUUUCUACUCAACUCUCCCUUUCCCCAAUAGCUUCCUACUUCAGCAAAUGUAAGCAAAAAUUCCUCUAGUGGUCUUUUUCUCUCCCUCUACCAUGAAGAACUUUCAUGUUCCCCUCCAUCAAUUUCAUCUCUAAUUUCAUAUCCUACCACCCUUUAUUUCAGCCGCAUUCGCCUUGCAAUUGUCAAGAUACACCUGGCAUACUCUUGUCUCUAGGUCUUCACCUGAAAUACCAUUCUCCUGUAACAUUCUUCUCCUGAGUAUCCACAUAGCUAACUUUUCUGUUUUCCCAGAUCUCUGCUCAAUUGUCACCUUUUACAGGAUAACUGUCUGACCUUAAAAAUUAUAGUUCCCAUCUCCUCUUACAUGCUAUUUUCGCUCUUCUUUAUUUUUAUCCAUGGCACCACUCACGUUCCUUCACAAUAUAUAUUUCACCUCUUUUGUUUGGGAUUUAUAGGUUAUUCCCCCUCCCGACUAGAAUGUAAAUUUGAUGAGCUCAAGGAUUUCUGUCUGUUCUGUUCACUGUUAUCUCCCUAGUGCUCAGAGCAGUGCCUAGUUCAUAGAAAACACUUGACUACUUAGGGAACAUACAAAUGCAUGCAUGAAUGAAUAGUAUCUAAUAGAGGCUAGAAUCACUUAUCUCACAAGAAUUUUUAUGGAUGAAGCAAACACUCGACACAAUGCUUAAUUCAUUGGUAAGGCUCAAAUAAAUAACAACUGCUCACUCCUAUCUUUUGUGUCUAUUCACUCCAAAACUGGCUAAGCACACUUGUGGUUUAAUAUUUAAUUCAUAGUUACAGGACUAAAUACUGCACAGGGGACAUCUAAGAGGAAGGUUAUCUGAGAACGUGAUGUAAGAUAACAGGAAGUAGUAGAAUCCUGAGUUCUGCACAGGCAAGACUAACACUGAAAGCUUGGCUCAUAGCCACUAAGACUGCCAUAUACUCUUAGGGUCACAAAAUGCUUUUUUCCUCCCCAAAUGUGUUACUUUAGAUCAACACUUUUGCCAGGUGGGAAAAAAGUGUAGAUAUAUAGACUGAAAGUAGACUAAAAAGAAAUGUAAUGGACGAGAAUGGGUUCUAUCUGGGCCGGGUAUUGUCUAUCUCCAUUCUGGCUAGAAACAUCAAAAAGCAAAAAUGAUCAACCACCCCAAAACAACAAACAAAAAACAAAAAGGCAAAUAAGAUAUACCCCAAAACAAAAAACAAACCAAAAAACCAACAAACCAAUCAAACAAAAAUCCUAAAGACUUACACUGUUCCAAAAUAAUGUGUCUAGGUUUGAGUCUGAUUUUUCUAGUUCCCUUUCAUUUAGAAAAAUGCUCUCAAAGUAGAGGGUAUUCAGGAUUACAAAACCAACAUCAAGUCUGAGAUUUUUAACUGAAGAUUGAACCUGAUAGAAUUAAAUCAUUGCCACUCUCCUGUAUACUCUCUACACUAGCCAUCAGAAGCCUCCCUACUAAGUGAGAUAGUUAAUACCCAAAUAAUCGUAUUAGGCUGCAUCCAGAAAGAUCUACUUUUCUUAGUUCAAUAGAUAUCUCCCUACAGAUGCAUUCAUUCACACUGUUCUAGCAUGCUGUAAAUGUCCAGGGGAAAUACAACUUUUUUUCAGAGCUCUGGUCUCAAAGUGUUGGGUGACGAAACUCAAUUGCUGAGUUCUUUUGAAAACCAUUCAAAAGUAACUGAAGUGUUAAAAGGACCUAUUCAAAAAUUCAGACCCCAAAGACUCAGCUUCAAUGGCUCUUAAAAAGUAGAAGAAAGCUAAACUGAUUUAUACUAGGGUAAGAGCCUAUUUUUGCAGGUGCCACAAAUCAAAAUGAGUAUUUACAGAAGUUCUGAAAGCCCUUCCAGAGAAAGAGAGGGAAAGCGUUAAACCUGGGAGUCAGUUGGGUCUGGAUCCAAGAAUUACUGAUUGUAUGAUGCUGGUACAUUUUACUUAGACUGCCUGGAGCUCAGUUUUCAUACCUGCCUAAUGGAUACAAUAUGGACCAUUCUGCAAGGAUUAUAUGAGGAUUAGCAAUAACGCUUACAAAGCACCAGGCCCAAAGCUUCGCGCAAAGAAGUUGCUCAGUAAAAUGUGGGCCUUUUGUUAUUCUUUCUCCACUGCUGGUAAAAUCCACCUGGCUUACUGCAGACGGGCACUUUUAUAUGCCACAUCAAGGUACAUAAGACCACUGGUCAUCAGUUGGUGAUUAGGAGGUGGAGAAACCCAUUAAUCCAGAGAACUGAGGUUUCCCAGAAUAACUGGAAAGAUUAUAAUUAGGUAAAAGGCAAAACUCCAUUUCUAAUUUCAAAGAGCUUUUGACAUAGUUAGCCCAUUGGUGAUUUAAAACUCCAGUUAUUUCUGGAAAGUGGCACCCAUUUGUCUUAUGGAGAACCACGGUCUCAUCUACACUGAGUUCCAAUGUGUGUCUUUCUUUUUAUAAAAAUUUCUGCUCUUUCAUCCAAUAAAGUUUAAACAUUGUGGGAAGAAUCCAAUAUUUCAUUAAAGUUUGGGUCCUACCAUAAAACUUCUGAGGCUGAUGACAGUGUCUUGGGUUCAUUUUUUUUGCCUUUCCUCUACUGAUAGAUUUCUUCUCUGGUCUCAAAGACCUGGACUCACUACUAGUAGUUUAUUGCCAUCAUUAGUGACCUUUUUGAAGAAGAAGAAUUGAGAUUGAUUUUCUUUCUAGGGCCAGGAGAUGGAUCAUCUAAAAUGUUCUCUGUCCCACAGAUCUUGGAGUUCCAUUUGCCAUUUUGAUCAUAAAUACGUAUGUCUGUGUGGCAUGGGGAUCUGAAGUUGGUACAUACAUAGAACUACCAUCUGUUAAAGCAGAAAAGAUUUGAAAAGUGGAAAAGGAGAGGUAUGAAGGAGUAAAACUUUAGAAACUUUUUUCCCCGUAAGUUCAUGUACUGAAAAGCCAGGUUAACCUUACACAUCUGAAAAAGCUGAUCAUGGUUUCUUCUGACAGGUUAAAAAAACAACUGGUGGGAAAACAACUGUGAAAAUCUAGUGAUCUCUACAACAUAAUAAUUUACUAUGCCUACUUAAUGCCCAUGAGAAUAUGGAAAGUUCUGCUGUAAGAAACUCACUGAACCAUGACAGAAAGAUAAUAUUGCUCCCAGGGGACAUAAGCCAAUGUUUGAAGACAUUGUUAACACAACUAAGAAGAUAUGCUGCUGGCAACUAGUGGGUAGAAGCUAAGGAUGCGGCCAAACAUCCUAUGAUGUCCAGAACAACAAAGAAGUAUCUGGUCCCAAACAUCAAUAGUGCCAAGGCUGGGAAAGCCUGCUUCGGACCUAUACACAAGUCAUGGAACAGUUUCUGUACCACUGUCCCGGUUUCUAGUCAGAAACUGGUUUCCUAUUUCCAAUAUAAAAUGCUCACUAGGAUUAACUAUGCUUUUAUAAAAGUACCUCCUGUCCAAAACUCCUAAAUGUUCAGUUCUGAAACCAUCUCUUAAAUAGAGGUGAACCAUUACACAUAUGUAGAUUCUACCAUGAAUGAGGGAAGUGCUGUUUGUCUGAAACAUAAAGUGGAAAGGAAUCUGUAUCUAUAUAUCUCUGGGUCUACCUCUAUCUAUCUGUCCAUCCAUCCAUCCAUCUCUAUACUAUGAGUGCUAUCAGUUUAUAUAGCCCAAAUGUAAGAACAUGUUGGAAUGCUGGAGUAACCUUGUUUUCUUAAGAAAUUCUCAUCCUCACUGAUGACUUUCUAUCCAGAGUUGGUAGCCCCCACCAAAGCUGCCAUGCAGAAUGUCUAUGGAACACACUGGGCACAUCUGUACACAUUAACAACUUCCCCUCUUGGCUCCAAAGACUGAGUGACACUGCAUGUUGGUUUGCAAAUUCAUAGUCUCUUGAGACACCUUUGAAACCCUUCUAUUUUUAGUUUAUUCUUGAAAAUCUUUGACCUUGUUAGGUUCCUAGGAUCCCACAUACUACUUGAUGGAAAAUUCGACGCUCAAGAGAAGUAUGUUCUGAUAGCUAACCAGCGUCAUUUCUAUGGGGUUUGCAACUGUGACUUCAGCCAUGACGUCUGAUCAUGAGUCCUCCCUAUCCUCUGGGAGCCAUGCUGUUGGAUUCUUGACAACAUCCCUGGCUGCCCUUAACCAGAUGCCAAUAAUACUUCCCAAACCCAUCUGUAACAACCAAUUAUGUCUCCAGAUAUUGCCCAAUGUCCACUAGUAGAUAAAAAUCAACCCUGAUUUUUAGAGAACCACGGAAUUAUCUCAAAGUUUUCAGAAAGUCCUUUAGAAAGCUCUCAAAACCAAACUGAGUUUAACUGACUUGGUGGGGGGUAGGGAACACAGAGGGCUGUUUUUUUGUUUUUGUGUUUUUUUGUGGAUGAGAGUGGCAAAGGGCCCACUGAACAUCAGUUUAACAAGGUCAAGAUCCUAGGCUAAAAGGGUUUGGAAUCCCUGGUCUUAGAAAUGUGACAUGUACGACGUAAAAUCAAUUUCCAUGCAUAGCAAUGAAGAUUACAGCUACAGUGAAACAAGCAGGCUGUGCUGGAUAGCAUUCUUCCCUGUCCUCGAAGCCAUGACCUGCCACUGCUAAGGGGUUCCUGGACACUUCAGAUCUGACUCAGAGACAGCCAAGGAGAAGGAAGUCACGAUUUCACUAAGAACAGGCAAACUGCAAUGGAGGAAGAGGGAUCAGUGAAUAUGAAAGCUGCCUUCCUGAAACUUCUCAAAGACAGCAUGAUCUCUUGGAAUUCAAGCUUCUACAAGGUGGCUACCUGGUGGUGUCUGUUUUUGCCUUCUCCUAAAAACACCAAUCAAACCUUGCCCUUUUGACCCACAGAACACAUAAACAUUCUUUCUCCUUAACUGAACUUACUGCCACGAUGAACUUGAACUAUGAGAUGCACAAGAGGAGAGUUUGUUUUAACAGCUGCUUUUACAUGGAGGCCCUGGAGUUACUAUUCUGAAGAUAGCUGAUUCUAAAAGCCUCUCUUUUCACUGUCCUAUUUUUUCAAUGCUCAGCUGUCAGGGAACAACCACUGAAGUGUUCUCAACCAAAGGUGCAAAACAGAAGGACAAGGGGAUGGUACUCACUAGAUGGGAAGACAUCCUACAUAGGGAUCCAUUACAUGCUGACACAGGGUUUUUCUCCCCAAUUUAUUUGUAUAAGUUUACUUACCCCUUGACAAGCUGAAUAUUAACUGCUAAUUGCCCGAGGUUGCGCUGCCUAAUACAGUAGACACCAGUUACAGGUGCUGUUUAUAUUUAGAGUAAUUAAGUUACAUACAAUUUAAAAAUGCAUUAUCCCUAUUGUACUUGGCCACAUAAUAAGUGCUUAAUAUUAGCCACAUGUGGCUAGUAGCUUCCAUAUUAGAAAGCAAUAUGGAAGAGAGAAUAUUUGGAAAGAGAACAUAUCCAUCAUCAUAGAUAGUUAUUGGACUGUUUUGGCCAGUGCAUAAUUUCAUUCUAAUAAGAGCAAGGGGAUGCAGGCCUCACUAAGAAUGGUGACUUUGUAGGUUCAGCCUAUAUGGAUUGUUUUCCAUACUACUUCUUCCUCCUUUCUUGGCUGCCAAUGCUCUAUUUUAUACAUUUCUGGAAAGGGGUCUUGUAGUGAUUAAAAUGAUCCAUGAAAACAAUACCACUUUAGAGGAAACAACAACAGCAAGGAGCAAAGAUGGCGGUGUGGCAACCCACACAUUUCAGAUCUUUUUAUUGGUACCUAACAAAGGGGGGAAUGUACCCUCGGCCACAACUUCCCAUGCUGGUGUGGAGGCUCGUGGGCCCCUGCAGGGAGAGGCAGAAAGCCAGGCCCUCUACUUAUCCUGACUCUUAGACCCCUGAACUCAUAUCUGGGUUCUAAUGAAAAGAUGAACAGAAACAUACUUCCUGAUAGAAGGUUUUUAAAUGUUCCAUGCCAUCAGCAAGUGAGCAUUUAUCACUGAAAAUUUACUGGGCGAUUGCACAUUUAAAAAGAAAGACAAGAUCAAUAAUUUAUAUUUAUUGAACAAAGAUCAUUAGCAACCAUGAAGAUACACACGCACAUACACACACACACACACAUAUAUAUCCUAAUAGCAACUUUUAUUUUUAUGGUUGUAGUAAGGCUGUCAGGAAAAAAUUGUCAGUUCUUUACAUGUUCAACUUUAUUUAAUACCAAAUUUUCUCUCUUCCCAGUAGAAUCAAUAGCUCUGAUUGUGCAUUGCUAUAUCCUCAGCAUGCCAGAAGAGACUAGCCCCACAGUAGGCAAAUAACAAGUAUUAGCUGAGAAAUUAAUGACUUCUUUUUUGAAGGAAUGACCUGUAGUCUUUUACUCCCUCCUCAUAAAAUAAAUCUUCCUCAACCACGUUUAAUAAUCAGGAUUCCCUCCCAGCCAAUUAGACUUGGACUCAGCCUCUACCUCCCACUCCACAUUCCGAAGUUUCCAUUUGUGUCCAUUCCAGGAGGGCAACUCCCUGACCUGAGUCAGGGGGAGGAGCUACACUCCUCAGGGUCUAAUGUCUCUCUACCCUUGCCCCCAUCCCCACCUUUGGACUUUUUAAAACUGUAAAAACAGAAAUCUGUCAAGCAGUCAUGAAAUAUCAGCUGUCAGAAAGCAGGAACAGAAUCUCUGACAGGCAUACUAUCAUUGUAAAUACUAAAACAAAACAAAACAAAACACAACUCCAGUUAAGUUUUAUCUCCAAUGAAACAGAUGCAAGGACAGUGUGUUCUGUGGUUUUUAAGUACACGUGAGAUGAGUGGUUUAUAGAGUCUUAAUCUACUCUGAGUUCAAAUAAAUUUUAUAAUUUCA